CCUACGGGAGGCAGCAGUGGGGAAUCUUGCACAAUGGAGGAAACUCUGAUGCAGCGAUGCCGCGUGAGUGAAGAAGGCCUUUGGGUUGUAAAGCUCUUUUGUAGGGGAAGAUAAUGACUGUACCCUAAGAAUAAGGUCCGGCUAACUUCGUGCCAGCAGCCGCGGUAAUACGAAGGGACCUAGCGUAGUUCGGAAUUACUGGGCGUAAAGCGCGCGUAGGCCGUUGAGUUAGUUAAUUGUGAAAUCCCAAAGCUUAACUUUGGAACUGCAAUUAAAACUGCUCGACUAGAGUUUGAUAGAGGAAAGCGGAAUACAUAGUGUAGAGGUGAAAUUCGUAGAUAUUAUGUAGAACACCAGUUGCGAAGGCGGCUUUCUGGAUCAACACUGACGCUGAGGCGCGAAAGUAUGGGUAGCAAAGAGGAUUAGAUACCCUGUAGUCCAUACCAUAAACGAUGAUUGCUAGAUGUUGGAAACUUUAUUUUACAGUAUCGCAGCUAACGCAUUAAGCAAUCCGCCUGGGGAUACGACCGCAAGGUUAAAACCUCAAAAGUGUAAUUAGGACCGGUGAGAGUACGUCGACCGACGCACGACGGAGGUAG
rnacentral:rRNA from 1 species